rnacentral:rRNA from 1 species
UACGGGGGAGCAAGCGUUGUUCGGAUUUACUGGGCGUAAAGGGCGCGUAGGCGGCCACCGCAAGUCGACUGUGAAAUCUCCGGGCUUAACCCGGAAAGGUCAGCCGAUACUGCGGGGCUAGAGUGCAGAAGGGGCAACUGGAAUUCUCGGUGUAGCGGUGAAAUGCGUAGAUAUUACAAGGAACACCAAUGGCGAAGGCAGCUUGCUGGGCUACUCCUGACACUGAGGUACGAAAGCGUGGGGAGCGAACAGG